UACGGAGGGUGCAAGCGUUAUCCGGAUUCACUGGGUUUAAAGGGUGCGUAGGCGGGCAGGUAAGUCCGUGGUGAAAUCUCUGAGCUUAACUCAGAAACUGCCAUUGAUACUAUUUGUCUUGAAUACUGUGGAGGUCAGCGGAAUAUGUCAUGUAGCGGUGAAAUGCUUAGAUAUGACAUAGAACACCAAUUGCGAAGGCAGCUGGCUACACAAAUAUUGACACUGAGGCACGAAAGCGUGGGGAUCAAACAGG
rnacentral:rRNA from 1 species